AUAGCGUGACAAAUGAGUGGUGCAGUAUUCUAGUCAGUUCUCCAUUCUUGAAGGCGGGGCUAAAAAUCCGCCAAAGGGCACAUCGAUGAAGCUCCUUGUUUUGGCUUGAGGCGCCCAGCCUUGGGUCUUAACUGGGAGAAAAGGUAGUAGGGCGAUCCGCAAAGGCAUGUGGGCGUUGACCCUCCUACUGUGGAGGCCUUUUAUCCAGUCCAUACAGGAGUAUGAUCACUAGGAUAAAGGGUAUGAACCUGCAACGGCAAGCUAGGGAGCUUGUCUGCAGCGUAGCCUGCCUUGAGUGGAGCUAGAGGGGAUUAUGGAAAUGAGGUCAAAUUCGUGUCGGCCAACACGAUCUGACUUUUACCCAUAUGAAAUCUACUCUGCAAAAGAGGAUAAAAGAAUGGCAAGGAAUUGCUGAGGAAAUCUCCUAGACUGUUCAUUUUGACAUUUAAAGAGGAUUGCAGUGUAGACUAAGUGGUAAUCCAGUCUGACGAUUGGUGACAACGUCAAAUUCAGUAUAAAGGGAAACCGCCACUGCGGCGACGCUGUGGAGCUGAAUUGGGAAAUCCUACUGGACCUAAGCUACAGAGUUUACUCUUUAAAUGACCACUCUUCAUUUACAUAGA
rnacentral:sRNA from 1 species